ACAUUUUGCAAAUUCACAGGCCCUACGUUACGACAUGAACUCAGUACGCAAUGAUUUAUGCUGUGUAUUGAGGGCUUUUCGUAACAUAAGGCCGUGAACUUGCAAAGUGU
rnacentral:pre_miRNA from 1 species